UCACAGCUCGCGAGUCAAGUCAAGCCGCAACGGCGCAACAGCCGAAAUGGCAUUCCUGUGUGCGUGCAGCCUGUGAUAGCAUGUGUGCCUGUGUCACGCAUUUCUCCGAAUGGCGUUCUUGUGGAACAUGUUUAGAUGUAGUGCGCGUAAUGGAAUUCUAGCUGAGUACGUCGUGUUACACUUCAGUGACCGAAGCGAAGAAAAACGCCAAGUGCCCUUGCGAGCUCGCGCUUCGAGUGUUGUAGCACACAAUGGAGCUCCGCAGAAUUACCAAGACAGGUGUGACAGUGGAUGCUGUCAAGUGCUUCCCAACUUAAGCGAGCUUGAGUGCCUGUGUGCCGCGAGAUGGGCCCUUUUCUGCUACUCAUACGGAAAGCUUUAGAGAUUACGUGCAAGAUCUACAAAAUCUCCUAAAAUCUCCAUGUCGCCACUAGACACAAGAACGAGUAUGUCAAGAACUUAGCACUGUGGCCUGGUGAGUCACAGCGCCCGUCCCCGCAGAGCUCCAAGCUGUUGUCACCAGCUGCUGCCAGAAUCCUUUUCUGGUGCUCAUCCCAGACCUACGAGGAAUUUGGACUCCGUCCUGAGUUUUGAUCCACUCCAGGUGCUACGCGUACAGUUCUGUGCACACGGUUUAUGCCUGAUAACAACGAGCACAAAAAUAGUUGCAAUUACAAACUAGUAUUGUGCACUCUUUUAAUGGACGUGAAGGAGAAACACCACCCACAUGUAAGCUCUGCCUAGACACACAGAGCAACAUAAGCACUGACGUACAGAACAUGCUAACAUAAUACCCUGGAUAAAAACUGAAAGUAACUCUUGUGAAUUGUAUUCGUGUUUUGUAUCUUAUUCAGGAUGAUAUGCAAGAAUGAGGCACAGGUUGCAACAUCAUUCCAAUUUCCACGUUAUGUGAUGGAUUUUGAAGACAUUCAGCCCUAAACCUCUUGUCGGUGGAUGCAAAAGAAACAGAUUAUGUAAAAAAAUGUUGACUUGGUGUAGCAAAGCUUUGCAGACAUUAACAGCAUAAAAGGAAUGCAAGUAAAUGAAACUACAUUGAAAUUUACAAACUACAUUGAAAAUCGCUAUGGAAUCUUCGGUACUGCAUAUGAGCCACAAAAUUCAGAAGUUGACCUUCUACUUUCUCAACUACUAAGCAAUUUUUUUUGGCAUUGCAUAAGCCGAGAAUUGUACAAAAAUGCCAUUUACAAAUACAGCACAGUGCAACGCUUUUCCUUAAUGUUCCAUUAUGGGUUUUCUGAAAUUAGAUGGCACAAUUCCUGCAGCUGCAUGCACUGCGUGCUAGCGAAGAUGUAAGGUAAACUUCCAGGCUGCUUGGAAUAAUGCCAGCGUCUGUUCUUUGGAAACAUUUUCUUCUCAUGCCAGGCAUAUUUUAUGUAUUUAUGUGCUUUGUUCGUUUUCUUAUGCACAAUAAAAAUUUUGAAAUGCUUG